UGGGGAAUAUUGCGCAAUGGGGGAAACCCUGACGCAGCAACGCCGCGUGGAGGAUGACACUUUUCGGAGCGUAAACUCCUUUUCUUUGGGAAGAAUUAUGACGGUACCAAAGGAAUAAGCACCGGCUAACUCCGUGCCAGCAGCCGCGGUAAUACGGGGGGUGCAAGCGUUACUCGGAAUCACUGGGCGUAAAGGGUGCGUAGGUGGAUUGUCAAGUCUUUUGUGAAAUCUAAUGGCUUAACCAUUAAACUGCUUGGGAAACUGACAAUCUAGAGUGAGGGAGAGGUAGAUGGAAUUCUUGGUGUAGGGGUAAAAUCCGUAGAGAUCAAGAAGAAUACCCAUUGCGAAAGCGAUCUACUAGAACUCAACUGACACUGAGGCACGAAAGCGUGGGGAGCAA
rnacentral:rRNA from 1 species